UCCUGAUCAUCACCUUCCUUGCCUAUGCUUCCUUCCACGCCUCCAGGAAGCCCCCCAGCAUCGUCAAGAGUGUUCUUGGCCCCAAACUCCUGUCCAAUUCGAGCUCUUUCGACACCGGUUGGGCUCCCUUUAAUGGCCCUGAUGGCACUCACAGGCUUGGAGAACUUGAUCUUGCAUUUCUAUCUGCAUAUUCUAUUGGAAUGUAUUUUGCAGGGCAUGUUGGUGAUAGGAUUGAUUUGAGGUUGUUUCUUGCUUAUGGGAUGUUAGGGAGUGGAGUUUUGACUUGUCUUUUCGGGUUAGGUUAUUGGUGCAAUGUGCAUAUGUUGUGGUACUUUGUGGGUGUGCAAGUUGUGUGUGGGUUGUUUCAGUCAAUAGGGUGGCCUUCUGUUGUGGCAGUUGUGGGGAAUUGGUUUAGGGUUUAGACAGCGGCCAUCACACGCCGGCCACGGUCACGCACCACCCCCAGGUCCGGGACACCACGAGCCUCCUCCGCCCCAUGGCCAUGCUCCUCCUCCGGGGCCUCAUGCACCUCCUUCGGGACCCCAUACACCUCCUCCGGAACCCCAUGCACCUCCUCCGGGACCCCAUGCACCUCCUCAUGAUCCACACAAGCCACAUGACCCGCACCACGGUCACCACCACCCAUGAACCGAACUAGUCAUGAGGGAUCACGAAGCUAGCUAGUCUCAGCAAGUUGUUAUCUAUUUCUGCCUGUAAUGUGAUCUAGCUGCGCUUGUAGUUCUGAGUUGCUGGGUUUACUGGCUUUGCUCCAUUGAUCUCAUCGUUAUGUAAUGACUAAAAUAUGAUGACUAUGUAUGUAUCCAAAAGAAGGCUGAUCAUAUAUGUAUAAUAAGAAGAGUACUGGCUUUCUGGUUUAUGUAUAAUCCGCUUGUGUAAAACUUCUUCUCUGUUAUCGGUCUAAAUGUGAUGUAUGAUCAGAAAAUAUGGUCAGUUUGUCCUCUUGACCAACCUUAACUUACAAACUAAUUAAGUCAAUCUCCCCAAUUUCAUCAAUCUUUAUUAGGAUUUCAUCACUCAUUCCUUCACAGAUAAUUAACCACACAUCCAAGCUGCAUUUGCUCGAUUGCUCUUAACAAACUGUAAUAAUUAACCAAGAGGCAAACGCAUCCAUCUAAAGUCUAAAAAUUAAGUUAUUAACACAAGGUUAAAUUAUCCAUUGUUCAGACCAAUCUCACAGUUAGAGCGAUGAAUUGGCUAAAACAAAAACCUACGGGAG
rnacentral:lncRNA from 1 species